UCCUUGUCUUUUACUCUCUCCCGAUCGAAAAAAAAAAAAAAAAAAAAAAAAAAAGAAGAAGAAGAAGAAGAAGAAAAGGAGAAGCUGUGGGAAGAAGAGAGAUUGUUGAAGAAGACGAGGCGAUGGGAUUGGCCGGUUUCUGCAACUCCAUCACCGAUCCCAAAAGAAAUUGGAAUAUCAUACUUGCCAAACCCCCCAGAUGGUGUCUGCUAUAUUGAGAGAUGGGGUAACUAGUGUGAAGAUCAGAAAGGCAUUUGAAAAGACUUGGGAUUGUUUAACUCCAGAGAAAGUGUGAAUUUUCGUUGGCAGGGAGAGCAAGUUACCUUCAUGCAUGCCUAAUGUGUGCUCACUUUGCAAAGGAAUAGUUAUUGCAGUUGGUCUUUGACUUCCCUUUCUACACAAUAGAAGACUUUUCAUGGAUGUUAAAUAAGAAAAUGUGAGGGGGUGUAUAAUUGUUGUAAAGCAAGGUUGAGUCCUGCUAUGAUAACUCUUGUUAAUAAAAAAGAUGAUGAAAUUUUUGGUGUUUGGAAGAAGAGAAUCGAACGGGGAUUGCCCGAGAUUCUCUUCCCACUUGUGUGGGUUUGUGUGUCGUGUGUGUGUCUCUCUUCUUGUCUCUCAUUUGCUUCCUUUCCCUUCGAAUAUUUCCCUCUCAAAUUUCUCUCUGUUUCUAUCUCUGCAUUUUUCUUUUUCCUGCUUUUCCCUCUCCUCUUUCUCUAUGCUUUCUCUCAACCUUCUUUCUCUAUUUGGUUUUUCCUUUAUUUUCUCUUUUUUGUUAUCUCUUUACGUUUUCUAACUGCUUUUUCUUUAUAAUACUUCUUUUCCAUUUUUUCCUCUCUAUUUUCUUUCUCGACACCAUCUACUUUCUCUUUUUGUUUUCUACUCUCUUUCUUUUUUAACUUUCUCUUACUGCUGUUUUUUCUCUCCACUUUUGUUUCUAUUUUUCUUUUACUAAUUUCUCUGUGCUCUUCAUCUCUAGUUUACUUUCAAAGCGAUGUUAUUGCCUAGGUAAAUUACUUAUUCCACAUGCUAUCAAUGCUUACGAAAUAUGUCCUUAAAAAAUUAAAUGUAAAAAAAAAAAAAAAAAAAAAAAAAAAAAAAAGAGGCUAUGCUAACUAUGCUAUUAUUAUAAUAUAUACAAAAAAAAAAAACAUAAAAUAAAAUGAAAUGAAAUGAAAUAUAUGGAAGAACAAACCAGUAAAAAAAAAAAAAAAAAGAAAU